AGAGUUUGAUCAUGGCUCAGAACGAACGCUGGCGGCAUGCCUAACACAUGCAAGUCGAACGAGACCUUCGGGUCUAGUGGCGCACGGGUGCGUAACGCUGGGGAUCUGCCCUUUGCUUCGGAAUAACAGUUAGAAAUGACUGCUAAUACCGGAUGAUGAUUUCGGUCCAAAGAUUUAUCGGCAAAGGAUGAACCCGCGUAGGAUUAGCUAGUUGGUGGGGUAAAGGCCUACCAAGGCGACGAUCCUUAGCUGGUCUGAGAGGAUGAUCAGCCACACUGGGACUGAGACACGGCCCAGACUCCUACGGGAGGCAGCAGUGGGGAAUAUUGGACAAUGGCGAAAGCCUGAUCCAGCAAUGCCGCGUGAGUGAUGAAGGCCUUAGGGUUGUAAAGCUCUUUUACCCGGGAUGAUAAUGACAGUACCGGGAGAAUAAGCUCCGGCUAACUCCGUG
rnacentral:rRNA from 1 species